rnacentral:rRNA from 1 species
CCUACGGGAGGCAGCAGUGAGGAAUCUUGGUCAAUGGCCGGAAGGCUGAACCAGCCAAGCCGCGUGAAGGACGAAGGUGCCAAGCAUUGUAAACUUCUUUUGUCAAGGGACAAAAUCAGGCUCGAGAGCCUGACCGAGGGUACUUGAAGCAAAAGCAUCGGCUAACUCCGGUCGAGCACCCGCGGUAAUACGGGGGAUGCGAGCGUUAACCGGAUUUAUUGGGUUUAAGGGGUGCGUAGGCGGGCUGUUAAGUGAGCGGUAAAAGCCCGGGGCUCAACCCCGGCGAACCGUUGAAACUGGCUGUCUUGAGAUGUCGAGAGGUAUGCGGAAUGCGCAGUGUAGCGGUGAAAUGCUUAGAUAUU